CAGUAGCCGCGGGAAAACGUAGGUGGCAAGCGUUGUCCGGAAUUAUUGGGCGUAAAGCGCGCGCAGGCGGAUAGGUCAGUCUGUCUUAAAAGUUCGGGGCUUAACCCCGUGAUGGGAUGGAAACUGCCAAUCUAGAGUAUCGGAGAGGAAAGUGGAAUUCCUAGUGUAGCGGUGAAAUGCGUAGAUAUUAGGAAGAACACCAGUGGCGAAGGCGACUUUCUGGACGAAAACUGACGCUGAGGCGCGAAAGCCAGGGGAGCGAACGGGAUUAGAUACCCCCGUAGUCCCUGUCUCUUAUACA
rnacentral:rRNA from 1 species